CACGGGAGCUUGCUCCUGGUGGCGAGUGGCGAACGGGUGAGUAAUACAUCGGAACGUACCCUGAAUGGGGGAUAACGUAGCGAAAGUUACGCUAAUACCGCAUAUUCUGUGAGGCAGGAAAGAGGGGGAUCGCAAGACCUCUUGCUUUAGGAGCGGCCGAUGUCGGAUUAGCUAGUUGGUGAGGUAAAGGCUCACCAAGGCGACGAUCCGUAGCGGGUCUGAGAGGAUGAUCCGCCACACUGGGACUGAGACACGGCCCAGACUCCUACGGGAGGCAGCAGUGGGGAAUUUUGGACAAUGGGCGCAAGCCUGAUCCAGCCAUGCCGCGUGAGUGAAGAAGGCCUUCGGGUUGUAAAGCUCUUUCAGCCGGAAAGAAAACGCACGGGUUAAUAACCUGUGUGGAUGACGGUACCGGAAGAAGAAGCACCGGCUAACUACGUG
rnacentral:rRNA from 1 species